CUGUAAUAUCAUAUAUUAUCUUGAAAAUUAACUUUCGUUUCCAAUCCAUUAUAAUCGUGGUUCAUUUAAUGGCAAUUAAAUUUUAAUCUAAAUUCUAAUGCGUGAUUCGUGUUUACUGUUUACUAAAGUGUUUAAGAGGAUGUCAGCGCACUAUCGGUUUUCUCUCUCUGGCCCACGUGCAACAUAGACAAAACGCAUUUGCGCAGAAUCGUUUUUUCUAUGGUUUUAAGAAAUCUUAGAGUAAAAUCACCCAUUACAUAAAAGAUAGAGAAUAAUAUUUUUGAGGGAAUGUCAUAUCGAUUUCUCUAAAUAUUAUUUCAAAACAAUUUAAACAUCAUUUAAAUUUACAACAUUUUUUUGUUUAUUUUAAACACAAAAACAAAAUCAAAUAACAAUAAAAUCUAAAAUCGAUAUGACAUUCCCUCAAAAAUAUUAUUCUCUUAUCUUUUUUGUAAUGGGUGAUUUUACUCUAAAAUUACUUGAAAACAUAGAAAAAAACGAUUCUGCGCAAAUGCGUUUUGUCUAUGUUGUGCGUGGUUCAAAGAGAGAAAACAAAUAGUGCGCUGACUUCCUCUUAAGUAUAACAACUAUAAUACUAUUAAUAGUAUAUUGAUAUUAAGUCUUGAAACUUAAAAGUAGAAACUCAACAGUCCAAAUGAAACCGCACCACAAGUCUUUCAUCAAUAGAAAAUCUCAAUAUUCCAUCGAUGAAGACCCUAAUUCAGAUGAUGAAGAAGAAGGUUAGUGUUAGUUCAGACUAAGAUGACCCUGGAGAAGUGGUUAUUUCCAGUGGAAGUAGUUGAAGUGUUAGUAUCACUUCGGGCCUGGAUAUUGAUGAUCGCUGUUCUAACUUUUGUUCAAUAUGUCAACAGCAAACAUACAUGUCAACAGUAAAAUGUUUAGCAGUUAUAUUUUGAAUCUAAUUUUUUCAAAUUCAUAGGUUUUAAUUUUUAGCUACCAAUAUUUUCGAAUAGAUAAUACAUAUAAAUAUUAUAUAAUCAAAAUGUAUUGCACAUUAUUGUCCUUCCUUUUAGUCCCAUUGACUAUUCUGUAAUGUAAUUACUUAUUAUAUUAUUAUUUUAUCGUUUUUAAAACCAUUUUUACUCCCUGGUUUGAUUAUAGCUUUGAAACUAGAGUUUUGCACAAACAAGGAUUUGCCCUAGUUUCGAAAAAAAAUGGCGUAGAUGCUAAAAUAUAAAUAAAUAAAUCAUGAAUAUUAUGACGAAUAAUGAAAAACUUAUUUAUUGUUGCAGUAGAAUACUUGGAUCGACUGAAAAUGAAACAUAUUGCUAUAGCAAUUUUCCGGGAUAUUAACUGUUUUUUUUUUGGAAGCCAAAAGUUGCUUCCUGGAACCAUAAUAUCACAUUGUCAAUCAUUGGCAAUUAUUUUAACAAUGGCAAAAAGGAAUUGAAGCGCUUUGCUUUUUUAAUUACCUAAAAACACUAAGCACCCUUUAAUACUAAGUUUGUUUUUCUUUAUAAUAAUUAAUAAUAAAUACAUUUUAAUAUAUUAAUAAAACUAUAUUUUUACACGA